CUCAAAAUUAACUUAAAACCAGCCCAGAAACACCCAGGGCGGGCAGCUGGAGAUGAUCGUCUGAAAUGGCUCUAAAAACACCCAAAAUCACCCAAAAUUAACUUAAAACCAGCCCAGAAACACCCAGGGUGGGCAGCUGGAGAUGAUCGUCUGAAACAGCCCCAAAAUGGCCUCAAAAUACCCCAAAAUUAACCUAAAAUACCCCAAAAUCACCCCAGAACCAGCCCAGAGACACCCAGGGCGGGCAGCUGGAGAUGAUCGUCUGAAAUGGCAUCUAAAAUCACCCAAAAUUACCCCAAAAUGACCUCAAAAUUAACUUAAAACCAGCCCAGAAACACCCAGGGCGGGCAGCUGGAGAUGAUCGUCUGAAAUGGCUCUAAAAUCACCCAAAAUCACCCCAAAAUGACCUCAAAAUUAACUUAAAACCAGCCCAGAAACACCCAGGGCGGGCAGCUGGAGAUGAUCGUCUGAAAUGGCAUUAAAAUCACCCAAAAUUA